rfam:Vibrio aerogenes CECT 7868 genome assembly, contig: 0039
UAAAAAAGUAGCACAGCAAUCAAAAACCACACAAAAUCAGGAGAAAAAUCAGGAAGAUUUUUCAGGUUUUCUGAGCCAUGGAUGGCGAAUAAAACCGCUCCGGCCAGCUCCCACCAAAAGGAUUUUCUGGAUACGCUUUCA